rnacentral:lncRNA from 1 species
CCAAUGCUUAUACCAUCAAUGGUCAACCUGGUGAUCUUUACAACUGCUCUAAAAAAGGUAUAACUUGACAUUUAUUCUUCCAUUCAAAAUCACGAAAAUAAAUAGUUUCUCUUCCUAAUCAGUCUUUAAGUUAGUCACUUUUCGACAAAAGACAAACAAAUUGACUAUAAUGUCUGAUCCUAUUCUGAUGCAGAUACAAUAGUAGUUUCAGUGAAUUCUGGCGAAACAAAUCUCCUUCGAGUCAUCAACGCUGCACUCAACCAACAACUUUUCUUUAAAAUAGCCAACCACAAGCUCACAGUUGUUGGUGCCGAUGCUUCUUAUCUCAAACCCUACACCACCUCAGUUCUCAUGCUCGGACCAGGCCAGACGACCGAUGUCCUGAUAACUGCCGAUCAGUCCCCAGCCAAGUACUACAUUGCAGCGCGUGCCUACGCCAGUGCUCAAGGUGCACCAUUUGAUAAUACUACCACUACAGCCAUUCUAGAAUAUGAGACUGCCCCUUGCCUAGCUAAAUGCACCUCGACCAAGCCAGUUAUGCCAUCUCUACCUGCAUUUAACGACACUGCCACUGCAACUGCCUUUACGAAAAGCUUGAAAAGCCCAAGAAAAGUCGAAGUACCCACAGAAAUUGAUGAGAAUCUCUUCAUUACCGUCGGUUUAGGACUCAACAAUUGCCCCAGAGGUGCCAGACGUAGAAAUUGUCAAGGACCAAAUGGAACUCGAUUCACUGCCAGCAUGAACAACGUAUCUUUUGUGCUUCCAUCGAACUUUUCCCUGCUGCAGGCACAUCAGCAGCGUAUACCUGGAGUAUACACAACUGAUUUUCCAGCAAAUCCACCUCGGAUAUUUGAUUAUACUGGUAAUGUAAGCCGGUCACUAUGGCAACCCGCUCGCGGUACUAAGGUAUACAGAUUAAAGUAUGGAGCAAGAGUUCAAAUAGUGUUGCAGGGAACAAGUAUCUUCACAGCAGAGAACCAUCCAAUUCAUCUCCAUGGAUAUGACUUCUAUAUCCUUGCUGAAGGAUUUGGAAAUUUUAAUCCAAAAAGAGAUACAGCCAAAUUCAAUCUCGUUGAUCCACCACUACGAAAUACAGCUAGUGUACCUGUUGGUGGAUGGAGCGUGAUUAGAUUUGUCGCUGACAAUCCAGGUGAGAACUAACAUAAAUAAUCAUACUCAUAUUCAUUUUAUAAAUAUGCCAUUAUUCUCAUAUCUGCAAAUUGAUAUGUUAAAUAGGAGUAUGGUUAAUGCACUGUCACUUGGAUGUUCACAUCACCUGGGGUUUGGCAAUGGCUUUCUUGGUGGAAAAUGGAGUGGGAGAAUUACAAACGUUAGAGCCACCUCCUGCUGAUCUUCCCCUCUGUUAGUACCAUCAAUAAGGAGAUUCAAUAGAGUUUUGCAUUUCUGCAAACUGCGGACAAGCUUUUAUUUUUUCUUACUUUAUUUGUUCAAUUUCUUGGUUAUACAUGACCGGUUCACAAAAGACUGUGUAACAUUUAGUUUCCGUGGCACAAUCUAGUGUUCAACCGAUCAUGUUCUUUUGAUGGUAGCUGUUGUGUUUU